GCUGCAUGGCUGUCGUCAGCUCGUGUUGUGAAAUGUUGGGUUAAGUCUCGCAACGAGCGCAACCCUUAUCCUUUGUUGCCAGCGGUCCGGCCGGGAACUCAAAGGAGACUGCCAGUGAUAAACUGGAGGAAGGUGGGGAUGACGUCAAGUCAUCAUGGCCCUUACGACCAGGGCUACACACGUGCUACAAUGGCAUAUACAAAGAGAAGCGACCUCGCGAGAGCAAGCGGACCUCAUAAAGUAUGUCGUAGUCCGGAUUGGAGUCUGCAACUCGACUCCAUGAAGUCGGAAUCGCUAGUAAUCGUGGAUCAGAAUGCCACGGUGAAUACGUUCCCGGGCCUUGUACACACCGCCCGUCACACCAUGGGAGUGGGUUGCAAAAGAAGUAGGUAGCUUAACCUUCGGGAGGGCGCUUACCACUUUGUGAUUCAUGACUGGGGUGAAGUCGUAACAAGGUAACCGUAGGGGAACCUGCGGUUGGAUCACCUCCUUACCUUAAAGAAGC
rnacentral:rRNA from 1 species